GUUGUCAUGCGAGAAUGGUAUAAAAGACACAUUUCACCAAGCCGCCUUCAUUCAUCUGUACCUGCAGGAGACACGUAACGGUCUACGCGAGUCGGAAUAAGCUAAUAAUCAUCUUUUUCAUCUCAACAACUACCUUUAUCUAACCAAACAAUAUGCGCGAGUGCAUCUCUAUCCACGUCGGACAAGCCGGAGUCCAAAUCGGCAAUGCCUGCUGGGAACUGUACUGUUUGGAGCAUGGCAUCCAGCCAGACGGUCAAAUGCCAAGCGACAAGACCAUUGGAGGAGGAGAUGAUUCUUUCAACACCUUCUUCAGUGAGACUGGUGCGGGAAAGCACGUUCCUCGUGCCGUUUUCGUCGACUUGGAACCAACUGUUGUCGAUGAGGUCCGUACCGGGACCUAAACAGCUGUUCCACCCCGAACAACUCAUUACUGGUAAAGAAGAUGCUGCCUAACACUCGGCCCCGUUGGUCCUACACAUUGGAAAGAAAUCGUCGACCUUGUCCUUCGAUCGUAUCCGUAAACUUGCCGAUCAAUGUACCGGUCUCCAAGGUUUCUUGAUCUUCCACUCCUUCGGUGGUGGUACUGGAUCUGGUUUCACUUCUCUUCUUAUGGAACGUCUAUCCGUCGAUUAUGGAAAGAAAUCAAAACUGGAAUUCGCCAUCUACCCAGCACCCCAGGUCUCCACCGCUGUUGUUGAACCAUACAACUCUAUUCUGACCACUCACACUACUUUGGAACACUCCGACUGUGCUUUCAUGGUAGACAAUGAGGCUAUCUACGAUAUCUGCCGUCGCAACUUGGACAUUGAACGACCAACCUACACCAACUUGAACAGACUCGUUGGACAGAUCGUUUCGUCCAUCACUGCAUCUCUUCGUUUCGAUGGUGCACUCAACGUUGAUUUGACCGAAUUCCAGACCAACUUGGUACCUACCCACGUAUCCAUUUCCCUCUCGCAACAUACGCUCCAGUAAUCUCUGCAGAAAAAGCAUACCAUGAACAACUCUCAGUUGCUGAAAUUACCAACGCAUGCUUCGAGCCAGCCAACCAGAUGGUAAAAUGUGAUCCACGUCACGGAAAAUACAUGGCUUGCUGCAUGUUGUACCGUGGAGAACGUUGUCCCCAAGGAUGUCAACGCCGCCAUUGCAACCAUUAAGACAAAGAGAACCAUCCAAUUUGUCGAUUGGUGCCCAACUGGUUUCAAGGUCGGAAUCAACUACCAACCACCAACCGUUGUGCCAGGAGGAGAUUUGGCCAAGGUCCAACGUGCCGUAUGCAUGUUGAGCAACACCACCGCAAUUGCCGAAGCAUGGGCUCGUCUUGAUCACAAAUUCGAUUUGAUGUACGCCAAGCGUGCUUUCGUCCACUGGUACGUCGGAGAAGGUAUGGAAGAAGGAGAAUUCUCUGAAGCCCGUGAAGAUUUGGCUGCUCUUGAGAAGGAUUACGAAGAAGUCGGAGUCGAUUCCGUUGAAGGUGAAGGAGAGGAGGGAGAAGGAGAAGAGUAUUAGAUGAAGCAAUAAUCACGACCUACCAUCGUCGACACAAUCACUACACAACGACCACAAUAUAUUCAUAAUUUUCCGUAUUUCAUAUUUUGGUUUUAAAUAAUUUUCUGAAACACUCAGCAUCGGAGUUGAGAAUAAUUUUUUUAAGUUGAUACAUUGUUUACAUCUUUUAAUCUGGUGAUUUUGCACGGUGUUAUGGUUUUACAAAACAGAGAGAAAAAGGAAAAUCGAUAUAAA